GCGGAUGUAGCUCAGCAGGCAGAGCGCGACCACGCCAUGGUCGAGGCCACGAGUUCGAGACUCGUCAUCCGCUCCA
rnacentral:tRNA from 1 species